rnacentral:tRNA from 1 species
GGUGGGUUGUCAGAGCGGCCGAAUGAGCCAGUCUUGAAAACUGGUGUACGGUGACCCCGUACCGUGGGUUCAAAUCCCACACCCACCGCCA